AUGAACAUUUAGAUCAGACCUGGGCAAAGUAAGGCCCGCGGACCACAUGUGGCCCGAUGGCUGACCCUGACCGGCCCGCAUGAGAUCACUGGCAAAUUAAAAGUCAAUGCAAAUAUUUAUCAGGGUAAUAGAUGCAACCAAUGCAACGGCACAGCUUUUAUUUAGUAGGAUCUGCUAAAUUAGCGUGUUUUCGCACAU